rnacentral:rRNA from 1 species
UUGUAUAAUGGGUCAGCGACUUAUAUUCUGUAGCAAGGUUAACCGUAUAGGGGAGCCGGAGGGAAACCGAGUCUUAAUUGGGCGUUAAGUUGCAGGGUAUAGACCCGAAACCCGGUGAUCUAGCCAUGGGCAGGUUGAAGGUUGGGUAACACUAACUGGAGGACCGAACCGACUAAUGUUGAAAAAUUAGCGGAUGACCUGUGGCUGGGGGUGAAAGGCCAAUCAAACCGGGAGAUAGCUGGUUCUCCCCGAAAGCUAUUUAGGUAGCGCCUCGUGAAUUCAUCUCCGGGGGUAGAGCACUGUUUCGGCUAGGGGGCCAUCCCGGCUUACCAACCCGAUGCAAACUGCGAAUACCGGAGAAUGUUAUCACGGGAGACACACGGCGGGUGCUAACGUCCGUCGUGAAGAGGGAAACAACCCAGACCGCCAGCUAAGGUCCCAAAGUCAUGGUUAAGUGGGAAACGAUGUGGGAAGGCCCAGACAGCCAGGAUGUUGGCUUAGAAGCAGCCAUCAUUUAAAGAAAGCGUAAUAGCUCACUGGUCGAGUCGGCCUGCGCGGAAGAUGUAACGGGGCUAAACCAUGCACCGAAGCUGCGGCAGCGAACGUAUCACCCAAGACAACUUUACGGAGUUGACGAUUGACGGAGCGAAGCGACGUCAAAGCGUUCAUUAAAGUCGAGUUGGCUUAGGGAUACGUUCGUUGGGUAGGGGAGCGUUCUGUAAGCCUGUGAAGGUGUGUCGUGAGGCAUGCUGGAGGUAUCAGAAGUGCGAAUGCUGACAUAAGUAACGAUAAAGCGGGUGAAAAGCCCGCUCGCCGGAAGACCAAGGGUUCCUGUCCAACGUUAAUCGGGGCAGGGUGAGUCGACCCCUAAGGCGAGGCCGAAAGGCGUAGUCGAUGGGAAACGGGUUAAUAUUCCCGUACUUGGUGUUACUGCGAAGGGGGGACGGAGAAGGCUAUGUUGGCCGGGCGACGGUUGUCCCGGUUUAAGCGUGUAGGUGUGUGUUCCAGGUAAAUCCGGUUCACUUUAACACUGAGGCGUGACGACGAGGCACUACGGUGCUGAAGCAACAAAUGC